AAUCCCAGCUAGCGAUGAGAACUCAUUAAAAACAAAUCAAGAUACCAACCCGAUCCCCAGCGGCAAUUCGACAGGAUUGCACGUUUGAAAUACAACCAACUGAUUUCGUGCAGUGCAGAGCGACCAGGGGAUUAUUAUGUACGGCCGUAGGCAACCACUCAACACUCCCAAUGCGAGCAUGUAAAUGAGACGUUCGGAUUGAAGGAGAUCGCUGGUGAAGUGGGUGGUUGGGGAUGGGACUGUGCUACAAGGUGUGCGGAGUAUCUGUAAUCACUGAAAUGGCGGCUAACAGCAGGUGGCCAGAGACAAACGUCGAGUGGCAAAUGAGGGGGGAAAGAAAAUGCGGCGGCUUACCGGCAACGUUCUUUACUUAUUAAUUGCCAGUGUCUUGGCAUAAUUUUCACUCAUUUGUCUGUUGAAUGCAAGUGGAUCUCCUCACGUUCAAAAGAAGAAAUGGCAAUGCACUGAACCCUUCCGACAAAUAAAUCCACUCCAUUCACAGCCAGCACAGGGGCAAAUUUGUACCUUAUUGUGAAAAUGGCAUAUAAAAAGUACAGUAAACUGAAGUAGAAAAAAUGUAAUUGAAUAGAGUAGGUACAAAUUUUAUUUAAAUCAGUUUAAUCCCGCAGAAAAAGCAAAUACUGUCAAAGUUAACAUGUUGUUUAAUUAAAGGCUAAUAUGUAAAUG
ensembl:ncRNA lncRNA:CR45957 long non-coding RNA:CR45957